AGGGUGGCUGAGUUAAAGGCAAUAGAUUGUAAAUCUAUUAACGAAAAUUAUUUCCCCUAUUAG
rnacentral:tRNA from 1 species